rnacentral:rRNA from 1 species
CCCUUAGAUGUUCUGGGCCGCACGCGUGCUACACUGAGUGGAUCAGCGGGUCAGGUUGCGCGAAAGCGUUUCCUAAUCUUGAAAUCCGCUCGUGAUGGGGAUUGACGGUUGCAAUUUUCCGUCAUGAACGAGGAAUACCUUGUAAGCGCGGGUCAUCAUCCCGCGCUGAAUACGUCCCUGCCCUUUGUACACACCGCCCGUCGCUCCUACCGAUUGAGUGGUCCGGUGAGGCUUUGGGAUCUGAGCAAAAAGAGCGUUUCGCUCGUUUGGCUCGGAAAACUCAGUCGAACCUUAUCAUUUAGAGGAAGGAGAAGUCGUAACA